rnacentral:rRNA from 1 species
GUGUCAGCAGCCGCGGUAAGACGAACCGUCCUAACGUUGUUCGGAAUCACUGGGCUUAAAGGGCGCGUAGGCGGGCGAUCAAGUCAGGGGUGAAAUCUUUCGGCUUAACCGGAAAAUGGCCCCUGAUACUGAUUGUCUUGAGGGAGGUAGGGGCCAUGGGAACUUCUGGUGGAGCGGUGAAAUGCGUUGAUAUCAGAAGGAACGCCGGUGGCGAAAGCGCAUGGCUGGACCUCUUCUGACGCUGAGGCGCGAAAGCUAGGGUAGCGAACGGGAUUAGAUACCCCGGUAGUCCUAGCCCUAAACGAUGGGUACUAGGUUGUAGACUUCCAUGGGUUUACAGCCGAAGCAAAAGUGGUAAGUACCCCGCCUGGGGAGUAUGGUCGCAAGGCUGAA